UUAAUUGAAGCCAAAACAGAGGCAUUUUAUUGUUAAUAAAAUAAUUGAAUAUUAUUCCAAUUAAU
rnacentral:tRNA from 1 species